GCCUGGGAUGUACCCACAGCUCACCGGGGAGUCCGGGCCACACGUCAGCUGGAUCUUGAAUGAGAUGAAGACGGGGAGAAAGGGCCUUCCGGACAAAGGGCUUACGCCCUGGAUAAAGGGCGUGGAGGGGCGUGGCACGUUCAGUCUGGACACAGCAUAAAGUGCAUUGGAGAGAGGCGGGAGACAGGAUGGAAAGGAGGGUGGGAAGAGCUAUGAAGCUCCCCAGGGCCUUGCUAACGCGUUUGGACUUUAUCCCGCGCCAGACUUUUUAAAGGUGGUGGUUGGAGGGAGACUGACGAACUCAACUACCAGCCUGCAGUCGGCAGCCAUCAGCGGAUUGCAGGUACCCCGCGUGCGU
rnacentral:lncRNA from 1 species